rnacentral:rRNA from 1 species
AUACGUAGGGGGCAAGCGUUGUCCGGAAUGACCGGGCGUAAAGGGCGUGUAGGCGGCGGUGUAAGUCUGGAGUGAAAGUCCCGCAUUCAAUGUGGGAAUUGCUUUGGAUACUGCAGUGCUAGAGUGCGGAAGAGGUAAGUGGAAUUCCCAGUGUAGCGGUGAAAUGCGUAGAGAUUGGGAGGAACACCAGUGGCGAAGGCGACUUACUGGGCCGUAACUGACGCUGAGGCGCGAAAGCGUGGGGAGCGAACAGGAUUAGAUACCCUGGUAGUCCACGCGGUAAACGAUGAAUGCUAGGUGUUGCGGGUAUCGACCCCUGCAGUGCCGGAGUAAACACAAUAAGCAUUCCGCCUGGGGAGUACGGCCGCAAGGUUGAAACUCAAAUGAAUUGACGGGG